AGAACUCAAGGGUAUCUCGGCUGAAAGCCGAAGAUUGGUGUCGCUGUGCGCCCUCGAAGACCAUGGAGUCCUGGAUGGCGAGGAGGUCAACGUAACUAAGGUCAUGGAACUUCUGCGAACAAAGAUUGAUGCAGCAGAGGAUUCAGUAGCAAAAGAGGCCUUAUCUACAGCCCUUUCCAACUUGUCUGAGGAACCCCUAGAAGCUGACCUAUUACAUUUCAUGGAGCUCAAGAAGUCUCUUAUGAACUCCUGCCUUAUGAACGUGGUUGCAAGCCUAACCGAAGAGAAACUAUUAGCGAAGUGUUCAAAUUCAUAAGUGUC